GAUAAGGAGAAUGUACUACGUAAAGGAAAUCAUUUAAUUCCCAUCAGGAACGGCUCCCUAAAUGUUACGGUUGUCAAUAAAAAAAGUGUACAAGUAAUCGAUGAAAUGGAACAAGGAGCAAGAAACACAGUCAAACAAUCCACUGUGAAACAGUCACAAAACAAAACACAGAGUGAUACAAAAUACAAAACACUGAGUGAUACACAAUACAAAAUGGAGGUUGAUUCGCAGCACACAAUGGAAAGUGAUCUGAAUAAUGGAGACACAACCCACAAGGCUUCCACCAAAGACCACGGAGAAGCCUCAGCACGUGCCCCCUG